UCGGAAGCGAGCCUGUUCCGGAUUUCUGCUUGAAUUUCCUCUCUUGCUCUAUCCGAAUCCCCCACAUCUUGUUUGAGACUGAUACCAACAGUUGAUUGAGCGAACUUCUUGGCCUGCGGCUGGACUCGAUCCAAUCAGCUCCCUCAGCUCUCUUUCCUGUUGAAACCCUCAAGAAAAACUCACCUUUUUUAUUAGUCUUUGGAUCUUGUGAAGUGGUGGUUGCUACAAGGUUGCAUUGAGGCCAAGUGCUGCAAGAGAAAGCUCGAGUUCCAGGUAGGGGAUGCCUUUAACUCUAUCUAUGCUCUUCUUGCAUAUACUAUGUUUUAUAUGAGGCCUCUUGCAUGGUUUUGAAAAUUAUCUGUUUUACAAUUGAAAUGGUUUGCAUAGAUUGGAUUGAUGUGUUGGCAAUUGAUGGGGAUGUAAGGAGAGGUCAGUUCCUCCUUGAGCCACCGGUGGUGGGCAGUGUGCACCAUGCCCUUGUUAUUGAAUACCCCCCUUUGUCUCUAGCCUUGUGAUUAUUGAAUUCCAGAAAGUGAUUGGCUAGAUGGACGGUUGUGAUGGAAGUGUGAAAGAUGAUC